ACAUAUCAAUAAGCGGAGGAAAAGAAACCAACAGGGAUUGCCCCAGUAACGGCGAGUGAAGCGGCAACAGCUCAAAUUUGAAAUCUGGCCCCUCGGGGUCCGAGUUGUAAUUUGUAGAGGAUGCUUUUGGUGAGGUGCCGCCCGAGUUCCCUGGAACGGGACGCCACAGAGGGUGAGAGCCCCGUCUGGCUGGCCGCCGAGCCUCUGUAAAGCUCCUUCGACGAGUCGAGUAGUUUGGGAAUGCUGCUCAAAAUGGGAGGUAUAUGUCUUCUAAAGCUAAAUAUUGGCCAGAGACCGAUAGCGCACAAGUAGAGUGAUCGAAAGAUGAAAAGCACCUUGAAAAGAGGGUUAAAUAGUACGUGAAAUUGUUGAAAGGGAAGCGCUUGUGACCAGACUUGGGCGCGGCGGAUCAUCCGGGGUUCUCUCCGGUGCACUUCGCCGCGUCUGGGCCAGCAUCAGUUCGUCGCGGGGGAAAAAGGCUUCGGGAACGUGGCUCCUCCGGGAGUGUUAUAGCCCGUUGCAUAAUACCCUGCGGUGGACUGAGGACCGCGCAUCUGCAAGGAUGCUGGCGUAAUGGUCACCAGCGACCCGUCUUGAAACACGGACCAAGGAGUCGUCUUCGUAUGCGAGUGUUCGGGUGUCAAACCCCUACGCGUAAUGAAAGUGAACGCAGGUGAGAGCUUCGGCGCAUCAUCGACCGAUCCUGAUGUUCUCGGAUGGAUUUGAGUAAGAGCAUACGGGGCCGGACCCGAAAGAAGGUGAACUAUGCCUGUAUAGGGUGAAGCCAGAGGAAACUCUGGUGGAGGCUCGCAGCGGUUCUGACGUGCAAAUCGAUCGUCAAAUAUGGGCAUGGGGGCGAAAGACUAAUCGAACCUUCUAGUAGCUGGUUUCCGCCGA
rnacentral:rRNA from 1 species